rnacentral:rRNA from 1 species
CUACGUGCCAGCAGCCGCGGUAAUACGUAUGUCGCGAGCGUUAUCCGGAAUUAUUGGGCAUAAAGGGCAUCUAGGCGGCCUGACAAGUCAGGGGUGAAAACCUGCGGCUCAACCGCAGGCCUGCCUUUGAAACUGUUAGGCUGGAGUACCGGAGAGGUGGACGGAACUGCACGAGUAGAGGUGAAAUUCGUAGAUAUGUGCAGGAAUGCCGAUGAUGAAGAUAGUUCACUGGACGGUAACUGACGCUGAAGUGCGAAAGCCGGGGGAGCGAACAGGAUUAGAUACCCUGGUAGUCCCGGCUGUAAACGAUGAUUACUGGGUGUGGGCAGGAAGACUGUCUGUGCCGAAGCAAAUGCGAUAAGUAAUCCGCCUGGGGAGUACGGCCGCAAGGCUGAAACUCAAAGGAAUUGACGGGGACCCGCACAAGCGGUGGAGCAUGUGGUUUAAUUCGACGCAACGCGAGGAACCUUACCAGGUCUUGACAUAC